ensembl:lncRNA
AGAAUUCUGGAGUUCUCACUUGAAUAUCCGUGGUCCACGAGAGGCUCCUAAACCGCAGAAAGACCCAGAGACGAAACCAGACACUGCUCCCACAGCUUCACCUCCAGCUCUUGAGGUCCAGCCAAAAAAAGACCACCAAACGGACGCUGACACCCAGCCUGCAACCCCACCCGAACCUCAACCGAUCAAAGGAGACUCCACCAAUACAGCUCUGUUUAAGGAGUUUUGCCCCAUCAAAACUCGUAGCCCUAAAGAACUGAACUAUGGAUCAGGCAUAGGGGCACUCUGCUUCAUUAACCCACUUUUCUUGCAAUCCCUAAAUGCAUGGUCAAGGCGCCGUAUGUUCAAACGCAGCCUCAAAGUCCGAGUUUCGACUGAGAGCUCAACUUUGCUGUCACCACCACUCGCUCCGCCCCCUCCACCACCGCUAAUGCCAAAAUCUAAGAGUCGCUGUAAAGCUAAAGAUACAAAGGCAGAUGAACCGAUUAAAGAUACUGCUGAUGAUGUACAAGAAAAUAAUCAGUCAUGUCAAAUGAACACAGUAGAUGAGGACUAUACAGAGCUUCCGUCUAGGACAAGGGAAGAAUUUAUUGACGCUUUGCCUCUACCAACUGUUAUGGAGAGUCUAGUUGAAGAUGCAGACUACAAACAACCAUCGCCAAUGAUAAAUGCUUCCCAUCCACUUUCACCGUACCUGUCUCCAAAAUUACCCAAAAAGUCUACAUCUCUCUCCCCUCGCAAUUCUCCCAGCACAAGUCCUUCUGUGUCACCCUAUCAGUCCCCCUCUCCGUCUCCCAAAAUGCUUUCACCUUUACUGCCAUUAACCUCUCCAACAUGUAAAAGUCCGAUGGCUGAAGAUCCUUAUGAUAUACCAGUUCCAUCUUCAAAACCAGACCAACUGCAGAUGCCUGAAGAUAAGGGUGAAGUGGACAAUCUACCAGAAGGAGGGGAUAAGGAUGUUUUGGGAAAUGAUUUGCUUGAGCAGAUUAACACUGUGGCUUUAAAGGACAAAGACAGUAGUCCAUUGAGCGGUCAAAAGGAGGCACAAGAGUUGCACUCAACAGUCGAACAAAAUAGUGCUUCAAGUUAAAACUCAAGUCACUGACAGAUGCAGCAUUCACUGUGCUCCUUAAAAACUUGAACUUCACCAUGUGUUUGAAAAAACUAAGACUCUUCAUAUGGCUAAUAUUGAAUAAAAUAUACAACUACAACUAAC